UUGGGAUGAGAGAAAAAUGGUCUCUGCUUUCAGGAGCUCACAGUGAAGAAAUGAGGAGGAAUAUAGAAGCAAAUUAACACAAAUCAGCAUGAGAGGUCUCUCCAUCUGCAUGGGAUCCCUCUAUCAGAAGAGCAAGACUGCAGAUCAAGAUUUUCCAACGUGGUGCUGACUUUUUUGAGACAGUUAAUGAGAACUAGGAAAGUCCUUGCAGACCAUCCAGUCCAGUGGCUUUCAAAUGGA
rnacentral:lncRNA from 1 species